GGACUACCAGGGUAUCUAAUCCUGUUUGAUCCCCGCGCUUUCGCGCCUCAGCGUCAGUUGUCGUCCAGAUAGCCGCCUUCGCCACCGGUGUUCCUCCUAAUAUCUACGAAUUUCACCUCUACAUUAGGAAUUCCGCUAUCCCCUCCGACACUCUAGCAAACCAGUUUCAAAGGCAAUUCCACGGUUGAGCCGUGGGAUUUCACCCCUGACUUGGUUCGCCGCCUACGCGCGCUUUACGCCCAGUAAUUCCGAACAACGCUAGCACCCUUCGUAUUACCGCGGCUGCUGGCAC
rnacentral:rRNA from 1 species